AAAGUUUUAUUCUUGCUGAGAAUAUUCAUUAUAUAGUUGUACCAUAUAUUAAUUUUGUAAAUGAUUUAUAUAAUAUUGUUGUAGUGGUAAAUAUUAUUUAUCAACUAAAGUUGGAUAUAGCAAUCUAUGUGUCCCCGGUGAAGAUCGUGCCAGCCACCGCGGUUAUACGUGAGGGGAAAGUGAAUAUUAUUGGGUUAACAGUUAAAUUUAUUAUUCCUUUAAUUCUAAAAUUUUUAGGUGAAAUUUUAAUUUUAUUUUAAUAGGUUUAUAUGAAGCUGUGAAAUUUAUUUUAAAAACAAGGAUUAGAUACCCUUUUAUUUUAAAUGUAAAUAUUAACCUGGGUAGUAGUAGUUAUGAUCUUGAAACCCAAAGAAUUUGGCGGUAUUUUAUUCUUUUUAGAGGAACCUGUCCUGUAAUUGAUAGUCCACGAUAGAUAAGUACUUAUCUUUGUAAUCAUUUUGUAUACCUCCGUCAUCAGGAUAUCUUUUUAGAGUUAAUAUCCAUAUAAUAUAAAUUAUCAUAUGUCAGGUCAAGGUGCAAUUUAUAGAUAAGUAGAGAUGGGUUACAAUAAAUUUAUUUACACGGAUUUAUAUUAUUAUUUAAUAUAAUGAAGGUGGAUUUAAAAGUAAAAUUAAUUCUUUAUUAAUUUGACCUUAGCUCUAAAAUAUGCACACAUCGCCCGUCGCUCUUAUUUUUAAAGUAAGAUAAGUCGUAACAUAGUAGGUGUACUGGAAGGUGUACCUAGAAAGGUA
rnacentral:ncRNA from 1 species